CUUAGGCUUUGGGAGGAUGUGAAGAGGGAUAGAGGAGGAACAAAGUCCCCUGGAUCAUGUGGGCCAAAGACUUGAUAGGAUGGCAAUAUAACUCUGGGUGCCAGUGAAGCCAGAUUUAAAGUUAGGUAGUCAGUGUAGUUAGGUAAAUCGGGUCUAAUAUCGAGUAAGAUCCAAAAUGGAGGCCAUCUUUAGAAUGAAUUCUGGGAAAAGUUAAACAACUCUUGGAAUGUUAAUGAAGUCCAGGAAAAAUCCCAAGGCCAGAGCCCAUCCCAAAGAAGUGUUAAUGAACAGCCCCCAGCAAACAUGAAGAUAGCCCAUCCCAAAGAAGUAUUAAUAAACAGCCCCCAGCAAACUUGAAGGUGCUGACUCAGAAGUCCUUCCUGACCAGAUUACUUCUUUGGCCCACCUGUGUCCCACCCCUCUGGCCUUCCCACCUACAUUCCAUCACUGAAAGAACUAUAAAAAGGGGAAGCAACCGCACUUCCACGGAUUCCAUCUCUUGGGUCCCCUUCUUCCUCCGGGAGAAGUCUUUUCUGCUGUCCUUUAAUAAACUUCCAUUUUCCACUCUAAACUUACCUCGGCGUGCUUCUCUGGUAUUAUACUUCAACAAUGGGGAAGCAAGGACUCAUCACUGGUCAACAGCGGUAACACCAGGCCCCUGAGAACAUCCUGACAGGAAGGAAGCCUCCUGUUUGCAAUUUUCAGUGCCUGCCUGUAUUUAUUUCAACAGGCUCUAUUUUUCAUUAUUAUUUUAUAUUUAAGAGUGAUAGAUUUUACUUACGGUUAGUAAUACUUACCUGCUUUUAUUACAUUUGCAUAGCCUGGGCUCCAUGUGGCUCUCAGCUUCUCAAAUUGACAUAGAAUUUCCUGCCAUGAGAAAAGAAAGAAAAGUAAAGCUCUGCUAUUCAAGGUUCUCCCAACCUUGUCAGCUGAUGACCACAGUCAUACAUCCCCUAACCCAACAGGCCAUGGAAUGGACACCUCACAUAUCCACCGUAUUCCUUUCCCUGCUCCCCAGGGCCUCACCUCACCUUCUUCCCACCAGCAUCCUGGGACUAUGGCCCUGAUGGAGACAGGAGAAACCCCUGCAGCUUCUGAAGCUUCACUUCAUCUUCUGUGAUUGUGGGAACCACAAUCAGCUCACAGUGUCCUUUCUGGGGAGGGCAGAGGGAUCUCCAAGCCAAGGGAGAGGGAGGGAGGAGUAACUGUCAUGAUGACCUCCUACAGCCAUAUCAGUAGUGGCUCCAAGGCUUGAGCAGAUAUGGAGUGAGGAGAGAUGAGUCAACAAUGCAGUGUGUGCCUCCAAGGACGCUCCAGAUGCCAACAAGUGACUCUGCCUGUGGCCAGUGAGAAUGUGUGCUUUGUGCAUAUGUGUGACUGCAUGUGCUUGUGUGUGC
rnacentral:lncRNA from 1 species